ACGAACGCUGGCGGCGUGCUUCACACAUGCAAGUCGAACGGAAAGGCCCCUUUGGGGGUACUCGAGUGGCGAACGGGUGAGUAACACGUGAGUAACCUGCCCUUGACUUCGGGAUAACUUCAGGAAACUGGGGCUAAUACCGGAUAGGAAUCCUUGCUGCAUGGUGGGGGUUGGAAAGCUUCGGCGGUUUUGGAUGGACUCGCGGCUUAUCAGCUUGUUGGUGGGGUAGUGGCUUACCAAGGCUUUGACGGGUAGCCGGCCUGAGAGGGCGACCGGCCACAUUGGGACUGAGAUACGGCCCAGACUCCUACGGGAGGCAGCAGUGGGGAAUAUUGCACAAUGGGCGGAAGCCUGAUGCAGCAACGCCGCGUGCGGGAUGACGGCCUUCGGGUUGUAAACCGCUUUCAGCAGGGGCGAAGCUUGUGGUGACGGUACCUGCAGAAGAAGCACUGGCUAACUACGUG
rnacentral:rRNA from 1 species